UACUUAGUUCGAAUCCGUGCUAGGAUUUUGUCCGAUACCAACCCAUUAGGGCUGAUCAGACUUCCAAGAUAAGUGAAGUU
rfam:Schistosoma haematobium scaffold13_22, whole genome shotgun sequence.